rnacentral:rRNA from 1 species
AGUGGAUGGGGAGCAACCUAGUUGUGCGUGUGUAAAGGUAGUGCCAAGAAAAGCGGUGAUCAUGAUGAAAAUCAAUUCCCGGUACCCGAAACCGACACAGGUGGGCAAGUAGAGAAUACUAAGGGGCGCGAGGUAACUCUCUCCAAGGAACUCGGCAAAAUGACCCCGUAACUUAGGGAGAAGGGGUGCCACCGAGAGGUGGUCGCAGUGAAGAGGCCCAGGCGACUGUUUAGCAAAAACAUAGGUCUCUGCAAACUCGAAAGAGGAGGUAUAGGGGCUGACGCCUGCCCAGUGCCGGAAGGUUAAAGAAGUUGGUCAGUCUUAGGAUGAAGCUAGCGACUGAAGCCCCGGUGAACGGCGGCCGUAACUAUAACGGUCCUAAGGUAGCGAAAUUCCUUGUCGGGUAAGUUCCGACCCGCACGAAAGGCGUAACGAUCUGGGCGCUGUCUCGGAGAGAGGCUCGGCGAAAUAGGAUUGUCUGUGAAGAUACGGACUACCUGCAUUUGGACAGAAAGACCCUAUGAAGCUUUACUAUAGCUUGGAAUUGUGUUCGGGCUUCCUGUGCGCAGGAUAGGUGGGAGGCGUAGAAGGUAUUCUUGUGGGGAUACUGGAGCCAACGGUGAGAUACCACUCUCAGGAGGCUAGAAUUCUAACUUAAUUAAGGACAGUUUCAGGUGGGUAGUUUGACUGGGGCGGUCGCCUCCAAAAAGGUAACGGAGGCGUACAAAGGUUCCCUCAGACUGGUUGGAAAUCAGUCGAAGAGAAAAGGCAGAAGGGAGCUUGACUGCGAGAAGUACAGUUCGAGCAGGGUGGAAACACGGUCUUAGUGAUCCGACGGUGCUGUGUGGAAGGGCCGUCGCUCAACGGAUAAAAGUUACUCUAAGGAUAACAGGCUGAUCUCCCCCAAGAGUUCACAUCGACGGGGAGGUUUGGCACCUCGAUGUCGGCUCAUCGCAACCUGGGGCGGAAGUACGUCCCAAGGGUUGGGCUGUUCGCCCAUUAAAGCGGUACGUGAGCUGGGUUCAGAACGUCGUGAGACAGUUCGGUCCAUAUCCGAUGUAGGCGUGAGAAUAUUGAGAGGAGCCUUCCUUAGUACGAGAGGACCGGGAAGGACGCACCGCUGGUGUACCUGUUAUGAUGCCAAUUGUAAACGCAGGGUAGCCAAGUGCGGAGAGGAUAACCGCUGAAAGCAUCUAAGUGGGAAGCCCACCUCAAGAUGAGUAUUCUGGUGUAAGGUCACGGGAAGACGACCCGUAAAUAGGCACGAGGUGGAAGUGCAGAGAUGUAUGAAGCCGAAGUGUACUAAUAGACCGUCGGCUUGAC